rnacentral:rRNA from 1 species
UGGGGAAUUUUGGACAAUGGGCGCAAGCCUGAUCCAGCCAUGCCGCGUGCAGGAUGAAGGCCUUCGGGUUGUAAACUGCUUUUGUACGGAACGAAAAGUCUCUUUCUAAUAAAGAGGGAUCAUGACGGUACCGUAAGAAUAAGCACCGGCUAACUACGUGCCAGCAGCCGCGGUAAUACGUAGGGUGCAAGCGUUAAUCGGAAUUACUGGGCGUAAAGCGUGCGCAGGCGGUGAUGUAAGACAGAGGUGAAAUCCCCGGGCUCAACCUGGGAACUGCCUUUGUGUCUGCAUAGCUAGAGUACGGUAGAGGGGGAUGGAAUUCCGCGUGUAGCAGUGAAAUGCGUAGAUAUGCGGAGGAACACCGAUGGCGAAGGCAAUCCCCUGGACCUGUACUGACGCUCAUGCACGAAAGCGUGGGGAGCAAACA